AUUGAACGCUGGCGGCAGGCCUAACACAUGCAAGUCGAGCGAGCGGCGGACGGGUGAGUAAUGUAUGGGGACUGCCCGAUAGAGGGGGAUAACUACUGGAAACGGUAGCUCAUACCGCAUCCUAUCGGAUAACCCAUAUGGGAUGAGCUAGUAGGUGAGGUAAUGGGUCACCUAGGCGACGAUCCCUAGCUGGUCUGAGAGGAUGAUCAGCCACACUGGUACUGCGACACGGCCCAGACGCCUACGGAGGCAGCAGUGGGGAAGAUUGCACAAUGGGCGCAAGCCUGAUGCAGCCAUGCCGCGUGUAUGAAGAAGGCCCUAGGGUUGUAAAGUACUUUCAGUCGGGAGGCGUUACCGACAGAAGAAGCACCGGCUAACUCCGUGCCAGCAGCCGCGGUAAUAC
rnacentral:rRNA from 1 species